rnacentral:tRNA from 1 species
UCUACAUCCAGCCGACCGAUCCGACCGAGCGAACGAACGGAUGCCGAGCGCGGAAAAUGUCAAGCGCAAAAAUACAACGCACGCGGAGGAUGCACACACGAGAUGCAGCUAUACCACUACAUAGCUAGCUUGGUGUGAAUUGGCUAGACAGCGUUCUCAAUUUCAACAGCGGGUCGCGGUGAAAACAAAACACAACAAAAAGACAUCUGCGGAAGACGGGCCGAGAGGAAAAUAAACCAGAAGGAUUCACCGGCCUUUGCUUAGGCAUUCCCAGCCGUCUGCUACCGCUCUCCACGCCGCCUGCAAUUUGAUCUGGACUACGGCAGGCCGACUGCGGCGCAUAAGUGCACGGUAAAAUGUGGCUGACCAUGGCAUCGGUGUUCAGAUUGAUCUCGCGACAAGGCACCCGACUAUUUCCUAUCACCCCGAUGCAGAUUGUCGGUAUAGUGCUCUGCCUUGUCAGUAUGGUAGAGGGAGGUGUACCCGCAGCACCACGUAACCUGACCCUGGUCCUACCGCUGCUCUCCCGUGAGGUCAAGAUCCGCUGGCUGCCCGGUAACCCCCGCGACAACCUGACCGACUACGUGAUCGUCAACCGGGCCGAGGGGAGCGACACGAAGACGGUCAGCCGGAUCGACCCGGAGUACAACUCCUUCACUCUCAAGGACCUGAAAGAAGAGACCGCGUACUUGGUCUACGUCAAAGCCGCCAUAGGCAACGUCCGGAGUCUGAGUAGUGCCACGUUGGAGUUCACAACACCGAGAACGGACGACGAUCCGCUGGAGAUUGAAAACAAACUGAACGCCUCGAAACACGUCUACUCGCUGAUCAUUGUGUUCUUCCUGUGGGUAUUCCUGGUCGUGCUGUGCGUGAAAUACUGGGGAGUGGUGAACAAACUCAGAAGCCAGGUCACUCGCAUGGAGGUCACCGCUGAUGGCGCUCUCAUAGAAAAAGAACAGUUUGAGCGUUGAAACCUCUAUUAAACUUCGGACUUUCGUUGAAUUGAACAACUUGUCCGAAGGCGUACUACCUUUUGCUGUGUUAUCUGCACCUUGACUUCUUCUUCGCAGCUGCUUGUUGUAAUGACGACUGCACCAGACUAUACUUCUUCAGUUUAUAUCAGCCGAUACAGUAAUUGUUUGAAGUUAUGAUCGCCAACUUCAGGUCGGUGAAAAUUUUUAAGAUCAGAAAAUCUUUACUAGGCGAUUGUUUACUUUACUAGGCGACUUUCCGAUUUCCAUGUAUAGUUGUACAGCAAUAACGAUAAUAUGUAAAUAUAAUAGGUCUAUCUUCACGUGAAAUUUUAUUUUAUUACCUGUCACUCAUGAUACAAUUGAGAAACAUACAAUUUUGAACAUUAAAUCCAAUUCAAAAUUCGAAUAUAACCUGAAUACUUUAACGCAUCAUUAUCGAAAUCUUUAAUGGUUUACCAAAACUACAGUCGAAGCGCCCUCUGGUGGUACGAACAUUAAAGAGGGCGCUAUUAAAUAAAACCCCGAUGAGAAAUUUCCAAAGGGUAAUUGUUCUAUUUUUAUGUUUAGAUUUGACAUUUGAUAGCAAGCCAGUCAGGAUGGCCGAGCGGUCUAAGGCGCUACGUUCAGGUCGUAGUCUACUCUGUAGGCGUGGGUUCGAAUCCCACUCCUGACAAUCGUCUUUUUGUGUAAAUUUUGUUUUUACCAAUGUAAUUUCAAAAGCUAUGUUAUGGUGAAUAUGGGUCGGUCGGCAUUGGCUCGAAUCCUUUUCCUUUUAAGUUCAGGCUGAAAAGAAUGUUAUAACAACCAAAUCUGUAAGUGUUAGUAUAGUCAAGUAUGUUUCGAAUCUCUACCUUUAAAGUUAUUUUUUUUUAACUGUUACCGUAUUUCAAGGGUAGAGAGAACGAUUUCCCGAUGACCGUGAACGGUUUUUUUCCCCCGGGCCGGCCCUGCAUACGCUAUAGAAUUAAAAUAACAACCGCCUUAAAGGUUUACUUAAUUAGUUUAGCUUUAGAAACCUUCAGAGACAAUGUUCAACUCAGGACAACCAGUCAGGAUGGCCGAGCGGUCUAAGGCGCUACGUUCAGGUCGUAGUCUACUCUGUAGGCGUGGGUUCGAAUCCCACUCCUGACAAUACUUUUUUUAAAGUGGGUAAUUUAACCUCAAAAGUCAAUUUGAUUUUGCGAUUCUUACAUCCUGCAUGCAAGUCAGGAUGGCCGAGCGGUCUAAGGCGCUACGUUCAGGUCGUAGUCUACUCUGUAGGCGUGGGUUCGAAUCCCACUCCUGACAAUAUUUUUUUUAAAGUGGGUAAUUUAACCUCAAAAGUCAAUUUGAUUUUGCAAUUCUCACGUCCUGCAUGCAAGUCAGGAUGGCCGAGCGGUCUAAGGCGCUACGUUCAGGUCGUAGUCUACUCAGUAGGCGUGGGUUCGAAUCCCACUCCUGACAUUUUUUUGGUAUUCCCUGAUCGAGGUUCCAAGGAUAGAAGCUUACAUUAAACCUUUUCUCUUUUGUUUUUGGGCUCGUUUGUUUUAUAAGUUUGUUUAUUUUUUGGCAUUUUGCAGUUUAAAAAUAUUAAUUAUGAUGUACAGAAUUAGUCUCAAUAUUAUACAAUGUAUAUAUAUUGCAAGGACUAACUGCCUUGUUUGAGAGACUCAAGUUCAGCUUUGAAGAUUGGGUAGAUCUAAAACCAGAAUAUCGAGAAAAGAUAUGUGUACAGGUGAGUAAAAAAAGAAGGAAACCCAUAUGGCG